UACGUAGGGUGCGAGCGUUAAUCGGAAUUAUUGGGCGUAAAGCGCGCGCAGGCGGUCCUUUAAGUCUGAUGUGAAAGCCCACGGCUCAACCGUGGAGGGUCAUUGGAAACUGGGGGACUUGAGUGCAGAAGAGGAAAGCGGAAUUCCACGUGUAGCGGUGAAAUGCGUAGAGAUGUGGAGGAACACCAGUGGCGAAGGCGGCUUUCUGGUCUGUAACUGACGCUGAGGCGCGAAAGCGUGGGGAGCAAACAGG
rnacentral:rRNA from 1 species